GUGGAAGCCCGCUGGGUGGGGUGUUUAGCUGUUAACUAAAAUUUUGCAGGAUCAAGGCCUGUCCAUUCGU
rnacentral:tRNA from 1 species